UACGUAGGGUGCAAGCGUUGUCCGGAAUUAUUGGGCGUAAAGAGCUUGUAGGCGGUCUGUCGCGUCUGCUGUGAAAACUCAGGGCUUAACCCUGAGCUUGCAGUGGGUACGGGCAGACUAGAGUGCGGUAGGGGAGACUGGAAUUCCUGGUGUAGCGGUGAAAUGCGCAGAUAUCAGGAGGAACACCGAUGGCGAAGGCGGGUCUCUGGGCCGUAACUGACGCUGAGGAGCGAAAGCAUGGGGAGCGAACAGG
rnacentral:rRNA from 1 species